UUGGAGGGCAAGUCUGGUGCCAGCAGCCGCGGUAAUUCCAGCUCCAAUAGCGUAUAUUAAAGUUGUUGCAGUUAAAAAGCUCGUAGUUGAAUUUCGGGAUCAAUUUAUUGGUCGUGCCAACGGUACGCACUGGUACAAUUGGUUUCUCCCUUCCGACGGAGCGUGAUGUCAUUAACUUGAUGUCGUGUGGAAUCAGGACUGUUACUUUGAAAAAAUUAGAGUGUUUAAAGCAGGC
rnacentral:rRNA from 1 species